ensembl:lncRNA
UUCUUGCCCAGAAUCUCACACCCUGGGUGGAGGAAGAGAAGAAAACCCUUCCCAUCUGCACUGAGAGCAUGGAAGCCAAGUUUCUGCCUGGAACGAUCUGAGGGGCUGAUGUACAGUUAUCCAGAAAUACAGCAUUUCAUCAUUUACUUCAAAGGACUACCACGGAAAGAGAGCAAAAGUAAGCCAGGUAAUGACUUUCCAAAGAAAAUCAUCAUGUACAUGGCACAGCUUUGCAAAGGGCUUCAUUCUGCUAGAGAGAAGAGCUACUGCCCUCGCUACUCUUCCUCCACCAUGUUCCCACAGUUCUCAUGCUUAUUUUAAACUUUCUUUCCCCUCUUUCCCACGUUCUUGUUUCUUUUUGAUAACAUUCAUUUAAUUAUAAAAAAAAUAUAAAGGGGUCAAAGGGUUGCUUUUGGAAUAAUGGAUGCCU